rnacentral:rRNA from 1 species
GCUUAACGCGAAGAACCUUACCUACCCUUGACAUGUCUGGAAUGCCGAAGAGAUUUGGCAGUGCUCGCAAGAGAACCGGAACACAGGUGCUGCAUGGCUGUCGUCAGCUCGUGUCGUGAGAUGUUGGGUUAAGUCCCGCAACGAGCGCAACCCUUGUCAUUAGUUGCUACGAAAGGGCACUCUAAUGAGACUGCCGGUGACAAACCGGAGGAGGUGGGGAUGACGUCAAGUCCUCAUGGCCCUUAUGGGUAGGGCUUCACACGUCAUACAAUGGUCGGGACAGAGGGUCGCCAACCCGCGAGGGGAGCAAUCCCAGAAACCCGACUGUAGUCCGGAUCGCAGUCUGCAACUCGACUGCGUGAAGUCGGAAUCGCUAGUAAUCGCGGAUCAGCAUGUCGCGGUGAAUACGUUCCCGGGUC